ensembl:lncRNA
GACUCAGCUACCGUAGACAGAAAAGAAAUAACAGUAGCCAUUCGGUACAGCCACAUUUUCAGGAUCUGGCAGCAUACCCACACCGUCAAAACUGGCAAAACACCGACCUUGCAAGGGAAACAGCUGCCUUUCCAGCUCCCCUUUGUCCAGUCGCUGGCACCUCCUCGCCUAACUUCUCCCCGCUCUACUUCCAGGUGGCCAAAACCCGAGAGACGCGAAAACGGACACAGAUCGAUCAGGCUACCGAGACUUCCAGGCAAGCAAAGAAUGCAUUUCCUUUCAAAGGUGGAGUGAGGAGCCCAGGUCUCCCUGGGUCGAGAGGGAGACUUGACGCAGAGGUUGCCUUUCCCCCACCUGGGACCCGCUCAUCUGGAUAGGCCAUCAGUCAUAUAGGUUCUGACUUUCGGAGCUGGAUAGGAGCGAUUGUGAAAAGAAAUCUUUAUAAAUCAUUGUGUGCGGUUGCAUGUGUGUGCGCGCGCGUUUUCUACAACAGCCUGUUGGGAGGAAGAAUGAUGCAAACAAAAUCGAAUUAUCUUUCUCAAAGAGAAACGGGAAAUUUCCACCAAGGAGGAAAAUGGAAAGAUUUAUGACGUUGUGGCAAAGUGGAUCCCGGCCUUAAAAAAGAGAUAGAUCACCUUGCUAUAUAAAUAUGAAUGAUGGGCGUUUGCAGCUUUAGUGUAAUUUACUUCCA